rnacentral:rRNA from 1 species
UACGGAGGGGGCGAGCGUUAUUCGGAAUUAUUGGGCGUAAAGGGCGCGUAGGCGGCUGUACAAGUCAAAGGUGAAAUCCCUCGGCUCAACUGAGGAACUGCCUUUGAAACUGUCUGGCUUGAGGCCGGGAGAGGGUAGCGGAAUUCCCAGUGUAGCGGUGAAAUGCGUAGAUAUUGGGAGGAACACCAGUGGCGAAGGCGGCUACCUGGACCGGUUCUGACGCUGAGGCGCGAAAGCGUGGGUAGCAAACAGG